ACACGCGCACCUCCACGCCACGCUCUUCCGUACGGUCGUACCUGCAACAGACACACAAACAACAGCAAAGAAAAAGCCAAUAACAAAAAGCCAGAUGAUAACAACAAAAAAUAUAUAGAUUUCUUUUGUAUUUUUCAUUUUUCUGGCUAUAUAAAAGCCAAAUAUGCAUUGUAAACGGUUAGGCACAAUCAAUACACAAAAAGAAUCAAAAAAGCAAUAGAA
rnacentral:lncRNA from 1 species